UGGGGAAUAUUGCGCAAUGGUCGAAAGACUGACGCAGCGACGCCGCGUGUGGGAGGAAGCCCUUCGGGGUGUAAACCACUGUCGGGAGGGACGAACCGCGGACGGGCAAAUAGCCCGGACGCCUGACGGUACCUCCAAAGGAAGCACCGGCUAACUCCGUGCCAGCAGCCGCGGUAAGACGGAGGGUGCAAGCGUUGUUCGGAAUUACUGGGCGUAAAGCGCGGGCAGGUGGUCUUUUAAGUCCUUUGUGAAAUCCCGGGGCUCAACUCCGGAUGUGCAUAGGAUACUGGAAGACUUGAGACUGGUAGAGGCGAGCGGAAUUCCUGGUGUAGCGGUGGAAUGCGUAGAUAUCAGGAAGAACACCGGUGGCGAAGGCGGCUCGCUGGGCCAGUUCUGACACUCAGCCGCGAAAGCGUGGGGAGCAAACAGG
rnacentral:rRNA from 1 species